rnacentral:misc_RNA from 1 species
UAAUAAGUGUUUUAUGGCACUUUUUAAAUCCAUAUCCACCUUGUGUGCAAUGUCAGUCGGAUUUCUUUUCGUCAGAGAAAGGAUCGACCAAACAUCAACUUAUUCUAUUUAACUCUUUGUCUGAAAACUAUUAUGAAUAAACUAAUUCAAAAUA